AAGAUACAUAAAAACAUCUCUUUCUUAUUGAGCCUUGAAGCCCUUCUUGAAAUCUCUUUGAAUUUUUCAAAUACAAUCAAAAUGGCUAAUGCAGCGUCCGGGAUGGCUGUGCAUGAUGACUGCAAGUUAAGGUUCUUGGAGCUGAAAGCAAAAAGAACGCACCGCUUUAUUGUUUUCAAGAUAGAGGAGAAACAAAAGCAGGUUGUGGUUGAAAAGGUUGGUGAGCCAGCCCAAGGUUACGAGGAUUUCACUGCGUGUCUUCCUGAUAAUGAAUGUCGAUAUGCUGUCUACGAUUUUGAUUUCGUCACUGCAGAGAAUUGCCAGAAAAGCAGGAUCUUUUUCAUUGCAUGGUCCCCUGACACAUCAAGGGUGAGAAGCAAGA
rnacentral:misc_RNA from 1 species